ACUUGUUUUUAAAUUAUUUUUUAAGAAGUGUGCAAAAUUUGAGGUAAGAUCAAUGGUUUAUUCAUUAGUUAUUGAGGUUUAAAUCUGUUGUAGGAAUUACUAGGGUUUGAUUUAGGAUUUGAUUAGGGUUUGGUUUAAGAUUAAAGUUUGGAUUAGGGUUUGGAUUAGGAUUUGGUUAGGGUUUUAUUUAGGGUUUAGGAUUUGGUUAGAAUUUGAUUUAGGAUUUAGGAUUUAGUUAGGAUUUGAUUUAGGGUUUAGGGUUUGGAUUAGGAUUUGGUUUAGGAUUUAGGAUUUUGAUUAGAAUUUGGUUAGGAUUUGGUUUAGGAUUUAGGAUUUAGUUAGGAUUUGGUUUAGGAUUUAGGAUUUGGAUUAGGUUUUUAUUUAGGAUUUAGAAUUUGGAUUAGGAUUUAGUUAGGAUUUGAUUUAGGAUUUAGGUUUUGGUUUAGGAUUUGGUUAAGAUUUGGUUUAGGAUUUGGUUGGGGCUUGGUUUAAGGUUUGCUUAGGGUUUGAUUCAGGAUUUAGGAUUUUAUUAGGGUUUAAGAUUUAAUUAGUUUUGGCCUAAAGUUUGAAUGAAGUUCAAUAAGAUUUUAAUUAGAAUUAAAUUAAGAUUGAAUUGAGAUGUAUUUGAGUGAUGUUUGUGAUCAUUCUAAUAUUUCUUUAACAAUUCUUAUUAUUUGUUUGAAAUUUCUUUGAGGUUUUUUUGAAUUUGAUUAAGCUUCUUUAGCAUUAUUAUGGUCU
rnacentral:lncRNA from 1 species